GUUUCUUUAUAAUCUCCCCAACCCUUAAGAAGGUUCUUUGUAUUUCUCCCCACCCUUGAGAAUGUACUUUGUGAGAUCCACCCCCUGCCCCCAAAACAUUGCACUUAACUCCACCACCUAUUCCAAAACCUAUAAGAACUAAUGGUAAUCCCAACACCCUUUGCUGACUCCUUUUUCAGACUCAGCCUGCCUGCACCCAGGUGAAAUAAACAGCCAUGUUGCUCACACAAAGCCUGUUUGGUGGUCUCUUCCCACGGACGCGCGAGACAAUGAGGAGAUACAAGGUCUCGCUGUUCUACCUAGGCUGUUCUAGAACUCCUAAUGUCAAGCUAUCCUCCUGCCUCGGCCUCCCAUG
rnacentral:lncRNA from 1 species